rnacentral:rRNA from 1 species
ACGUGAGAAACCUGCCCCGAACAUGGGAAUAACAGUCGGAAACGACUGCUAAUACCGAAUACCUUCACGACGUCGCAUGGCGAUGUGAAGAAAGCUUUUGCGGUUUGGGAGGGUCUCGCGGCCUAUCAGCUAGUUGGUGAGGUAACGGCUCACCAAGGCAUCGACGGGUAGCUGGUCUGAGAGGAUGAUCGGCCACACUGGGACUGAGACACGGCCCAGACUCCUACGGGAGGCAGCAGUGGGGAAUAUUGCACAAUGGGCGCAAGCCUGAUGCAGCAACGCCGCGUGCGGGAUGAAGGC